ACGUUUUAAUUUCAUCAUUCACCGCCGGCGGAGCUUGCGAAAUCGAAAAUUGGUACUUGAAAGUCAAUGGUUGAUCAUGAAUACCAUCUUUUAUUUAAUGGAGAAAGAAACCAAUAUUUGCAGCUGGACAGGCUGUCACCACAGUUCAAUGAUUUAGUUAAGACAAUGAAAUAGAAGAACUCAACACUUGCACCAGUGGAAGUACUUCUUAUUGGAUAGAGAACUUUUCAAGGUCAGACAUCAGCUUUUGAAGUUGCUUUCUUGGCACAUCAUGCUGUCCAGUGGAGUUCAUACUAUAUGCCAGGCCUUUAUACAUGGUCAAAGAAGAUGAAUUUGUUAUUCAAUUUGUGAAAUUUGAUUUAGUGAGGACUUUCAUAUAUGAUGAUUAUAUUCAGCAGAUUAUCUUCAAGUGUGCACUUUAUAGAAUCACAGUUUCUAGGAGGUUUUCAGUUUAAAGUUAGAUUAAUUGAAAAAUAAGGGGAGCUAUCAUACUCACCAUGGUAUCAACAUUGGCAUUACACCAGGUUUAAGUUUUUCUUACCAGUCCAUAAUUUAAAAGGACCUUUUUACAGUAUUGAAACUUACAACAGUAAUGUAUCAUCAUUUUACCAAGUUUUAGGCAAGAGUACAUAACUCCAUCAAGGAUUUGACUGAACUAUGGCCCUUUGAAACUUUUGUCACUUGUUUAUGAUAAUAGUCUCUCUAUAUAGGCAAGAGUUCAUAACACUGUAGAGUAUUUUGGAUGAAUUAUGUCCCUUUUGGACUUUGAAAUUGGUUCAGUUUUUGUACAAGUCCACAUUCUGACAAAAACAUUUUGACAUAUAGCUUUCAACACUAAGUCUUACCGUUACA
rnacentral:lncRNA from 1 species